GAGUGGUGUUGCGUUUGGCGGCGCUGUCAGGUUGAGCGAGCGGAACCUGCAGAUUUACUUCUUCAAGGACGCUGGGGACCCGCGCUGGGGAUGGGUGGGUAACACGUGGGGAACCUGCCCCAUAGUCUAGGAUACAACUGGGAAACAGGUGCUAAUACCGGAUAAUCAACCAGAUCGCAUGAUCAGCUUAUAAAAGGCGGCGUAUGCUGUCCCUAUGGGAUGGCCCCGCGGUGCAUUAGUUUUUUGGUAGGGCAACCGCUUACGAAAGCAAUGAUGUAUAGCCGAGUUGAGAGACUGACCGGCCCCCUUGGGACUGAGACACGGCCCAAACUCCUACAGGAGGCAGCAGUAGGGAAUCUUCCACAAUGGACGCAAGUCUGAUGGAGCAACGCCGCGUGAGUGAAGAAGGUUUUCGGAUCGUAAAGCUCUGUUGUUGGUGAAGAAGGAUAGAGGUAGUAACUGGCCUUUAUUUGACGGUAAUCAACCAGAAAGUCACGGCUAACUACGUGCCAGCAGCCGCGGUAAUACGUAGGUGGCAAGCGUUGUCCGGAUUUAUUGGGCGUAAAGCGAGCGCAGGCGGAAGAAUAAGUCUGAUGUGAAAGCCCUCGGCUUAACCGAGGAAUUGCAUCGGAAACUGUUUUUCUUUGAGUGCAGAAGAGGAGAGUGGAACUCCUUGUGUAGCGGUGGAAUGCGUUGAUAUAUGGAAGAACACCAGUGGCGAAGGCGGCUCUCUGGUCUGCAACUGACGCUGAGGCUCGAAAAGCAUGGGGUAGCAAACAGGAUUUAGAUACCCCUGGGAGUCCCAUGCGUUAAACGAUGAUUGCUAGCGUGGGGAGGUUUCCCGGCUCUCCAUGCCUGCCAGCUUACCCCUUUAAAGCACUCCCGCCCUGGGGGAGUACGAAACGCAAGGGUUUGAAACUUCCAAAUGA
rnacentral:rRNA from 1 species